UAAACGACUCUCGGCAACGGAUAUCUCGGCUCAUGCAUCGAUGAAGAACGUAGCAAAAUGCGAUACUUGGUGUGAAUUGCAGAAUCCCGUGAACCAUCGAGUUUUUGAACGCAAGUUGCGCCCAAAGCCAUUCGGCUGAGGGCACGUCUGCCUGGGUGUCACGC
rnacentral:rRNA from 1 species